rnacentral:sRNA from 1 species
CUCGAUAUGACAAGGCGGCUUAACGAUGUCGACCGAAAUAUUGAAAAUAAAAUAAGACAAAAAAAAAAUGCCAAGAACUUUGUUAUUUUCCCAUGACCUAUAGCCGAUACUAUACAAAAAGCUUCAUAAAUAUAAAAAGUUCUUUGCUCAUUGCCUUCAUAUCGGAUUCAGAAUAUUUUUAAAAUUAAUCAAUUAUUUUAUCAAGUUUCUGAUUUUUCUCUGUGUAUAAAAGCCUGAGUUUUUGUGAAUGAAUGAAUGCAAGUUUCAAUAUUUAUCUUUUGGUUUGUAAUAAUUUAUUUAAUUAAAGUUUUAAGUUUCAUACAAUUUAAGAUGAAGUUUUUUGUCUCUGUUUUCCCUAAAACUACUAUUAAAUUAUAAAUUUAAGAGUACUUUAAUGUUUUUGUUUUUAUAAUUUAAACAAAAUGUAAGCAAAAAUGCAACAAAAAAGUAAAAAACGUGAUAAAACCCCAAAAACCUACAAAAACACAUACAUUAUACCUAUACAUAUUUCUUAUUUAUGAAAAAAAAAAAUAAUAAUAAUAAUAAU